AGUAUCAGUACCAGUAGUGGAGGUCUCAUACCAACAGCCAAAAACUUACCCUCUGCUUUUUGGCAGGUGGAGCUGCUGAUGUUCUCCAUGAGGUCAGGCAAUUUGUGGGGCUGGCCAGUCUUUGCAAGAAAAUACAGCUACUUCCCCUGGGAGGGUGAAGAAUGCAGCUACCACUGGAAAAAUACCUCAUCUUCUCCCAGGAUGAAGCCCUCAGUUCUGGCUACUCAUCAAAAUAUAUCCAUGAAACAUAGAAUGCCUUCAAAACAGGAUGACAAAUAAUAGAGAGGAAUUUUCUGUGAGUCCUGUGAAGCUUCCUGAGUGCAGUAACAAGGAGGUGCUGAAAGAACAGGAAGGACAACGACCAAAAAAAUAAGAGAGAAGAGGAUACUUUUAUCUUUAUCACAAGUAACCUAUCAUCAGGAGAUUUGUGGACUUCAAGCCCAGCAAUCACUAACAAAGCUCAGUUGCUCUCCUUGAGGCAUUUAGAGUAACUGCAUGACCACAACGGAUGUUGUGACCAGCAGGUUUUUAUCAGGAUCCAUCCUAUUUGAAAACCCUGGAAAUUAUUAAACAGUGUGUUGGGUGAUUUGAAGACGGCUUAAAAAAUUUCCCUUCUCUUGAUAUUCAGAAGAAGCCAUGUGUUAGAGAGGCUUCAGAUACCAGUUCCACUUAGUUGUGACAAUGCAUAGGAGGUUUGAGGUUUUUUUAAUUAAUGAUUUCUCGCUUUUAGUGCAACACUCUGCUGAAAUGAGAGGAGGAUCAGCUUGGCAGAUGAUCCCUGAUAAUGGUUCUACUCACCUUCCUACAGAGGCUGAGACUGAUGGUGUACAGAGGAAGAUGCUAAUCUCUGGCACUUUACCAUCUUGAGAUGAAUAUAGAAUAUACUGCCUUGCUUCUAUCAUUAAAAGCGGUAUAUGCUGUAAGGGUAUACUUUAUGCUCUGGAAGAACAACAGUUUUAGAUUUAUCUCUAUAUAUUCUGGUCUUGCCCAUGCUGUACUGCUUGAAGCCAGAGCAUUAAAAACUUGACACUUGUCCAAAAAGCUGGUAAAGGUAUCCAACUCCCCUGCAUGAAGCAGACAAGGCAGAGUUACCAAGAACGCUUGGACUUGUGAGCCUGGGAAACUAGGGGAGCAGUAACAGCAAUGUAACCAGAAAGGAGUGAGAAUUGUGUGCCUUUGUUUAAAAAGGCUUGCUACUAACAGUAGCCUACUCCCAGCCAUCCCCAAAUUCACACCUAGUGGAAUUUACAAGUACUCCAGGUCUGGUC
rnacentral:lncRNA from 12 species